rnacentral:rRNA from 1 species
UACGGAGGGUGCUAGCGUUGUUCGGAAUUACUGGGCGUAAAGCGUGCGCAGGCGGUUCGUUGUGUCGGCGGUGAAAGCCCCGGGCUUAACCUGGGAAUGGCCGUUGAAACUGGCGAACUGGAGUGUGGCAGAGGGGGGUGGAAUUCCGCGUGUAGCAGUGAAAUGCGUAGAUAUCCGGAGGAACACCGGUGGCGAAGGCGGCUUCCUGGACCGACAUUGACGCUGAGGCGCGAAAGCUAGGGGAGCAAACGGG